UUUAUGCCACUGCAUUGUACAGUAAAAAAUGGUUAAAAUGGUAAAUUUUAUGUUCUGUAUGUUUUGCCAUAGUAAAGAAAAACUUAUUCUAUGCAUUCAGCAAAUGCUGGUUCCUUCCCUGUUUUUGUGAGUGAAUUCGCAUCUCUGGAUCAUCCACUGUUCGGCUUUGUUGAAUAAUAGACACACAGAAAAGUGCAUCUCCUCCAAAAGAUCCAACCUCCAAAUGUAGGAGUUUCCGAAAGUUUGGUCCUUGGAACUCUUCUCUCCCUAGGUAGCAUCAUCCAUUUCUAAACAGCACCUGCAAUGCUAAAAACAGCACAUUUCCAUUCUAGCCUAGGUGUGUCCUCUGAACUUCAGAAUGAGCCCCCUUGCUCAGGACGCUCCCACCACCCUGGCUUCCUGUGAGUGUCUCAAAUGAGAACUCCUCAAGCACCUGGAACCACUCCCUGCUUUGCACGGCUCAUUCCACCUCUAAUUUCAGAUCUUAGCUUCAGCUCCAGAGGGAUGCCUUCCUGGACCAUGCUUCCUAAAACAGGGCUCUCAAAAGCUAGUUCUUUCCUUCACAGCAUUCACCACCAUUUGGUCAUUAUUACUGUCUUAUCCGACAGAUCAGAUUUGCCCCCAAAGAGAAAUGAUGAUAACAGUAAUAAUAAUAAAUACCAUUGUUAAGUUGCCUGGCACUCCAAGUGCUUAGGCACAUCCCUCCUGUAUUCCUCACCUUAUCCUAUUCAUUCGUUUGUCAAAGAGUUGUGAAGACUUCAAAGGGUUCCAGGCUCUGGGGAUACCACAAAGAGAAAAUGAGCCCACCCCACACUCUCAUGCAACCUGCAUUCUGCUGAGAAUUGAGAGAGGCUAAGAAUAACAAUCACACAAGUAACUAAGACAAUUUCAGCGAGGGUUAAGAGCUGUGAGAAGGACAGAAGGCAGUGACAUGAUAGAAAGUGACUGGGAACAAAGAACUGAGGCUGGGGCCCAGAACAGGCUCUCCGAGGAGGAGAUCAUUGACAGAGACCUGGACACUGAGAAAGAGCCAACUACACCAAGAUCUGGGAGGCAAGCUUUUCGGGCAGUGAAAAAAGCAAGUCAGCAGCAGCCCUACGAGUGAGUUUGGUGUGUUCAAAGAACUGGAAGGAGGCCGGUGAGCAGGAGCGAGAGCUGGAUACAGCUGGAGGGGAGAUGCACCUGCGGAAUGUGGCAAGGGCAGUUCCAGGCUUGUCCAGCCUGCCCGUCUGGGUCCUGCCCCAUGACUCACCUUACAACAGCAUGGCUUGAUCCGUGGUAUAUAGAUCUACGACUGGGCUCUGAACCUGCGAACCCUGGGCCCCUGAGGCGGAGCAUGCCAACUCAACUGUCGGGCCUGACCCUAUAUGUGUUCUUAGAUUUCUACUACUCCUAACCUCAAAGGAACUUGAGGUACUGUGACGAGGAGUAAACACAUAAUAUCCCAGUUUCAUGCAAUGGAAGCAGCAACAGAAACAGGAAGUAAACCAGAAGAAUUUAAAAGCAAGCAAGCAAAUAAACAUGUUCCAAGCAAAAGCAAGAAAAGUUUUUGUAGAAAUGAUAGUAGUCGAAAGCCUAGACAUGAUACGAAGAGGUGAGCCUCUACUCUCACCAUCCACUUUUUUCACCUUGGUGCCUGAUUCUGACCACCGAUCUGAUUCCUCCUCGCCCAAGUUCCACUGACGCGGAGCUUUCGUUGUAGAAGCUUUGACCGAAUGUUUGAUGGUGGAGACAGAGAUCAUCUUGGGUUGCUAUACAAA
rnacentral:lncRNA from 1 species